UUGUCUGCGGAUGACAUUGUCGAGACCCGAGCGGACGACUGCGAACUAGUAAA
rnacentral:rRNA from 1 species